rnacentral:rRNA from 1 species
UACGUAGGGGCUAGCGUUGUCCGGAAUCAUUGGGCGUAAAGAGCGUGUAGGCGGUCCGGUAAGUCCGCUGUGAAAGUCGGGGGCUCAACCCUCGAAUGCCGGUGGAUACUGUCGGGCUAGAGUGCGGAAGAGGCGAGUGGAAUUCCUGGUGUAGCGGUGAAAUGCGCAGAUAUCAGGAGGAACACCUAUUGCGAAGGCAGCUCGCUGGGACGUAACUGACGCUGAGACGCGAAAGCGUGGGGAGCAAACAGG